rnacentral:lncRNA from 1 species
AAGACCUCGAGUGCCCCUAAGGCCGAUACGGCCCCAACACGGACCCCGGUGGUGGCUCCGGCGCCGAAAGGCCCGUCGAGCCCCGGGAUGGGCGCGUCGAGUGAGGAUGAAGGGCUGGAGGAGCUCGUGGAACAGCCCUCCACUCCGGACACGUUUGAGGCAGCUAAGGACCUCAUUGCUUUGUCCGUCGAGGGUGCACGCGCUGAGGGUGCUCCGCCGAUGCUGCCGCGCAGAGGCAAGCCGGCGAUGGUGCGCCCAUCACGGUCGCCGUCUUGGCACCGCUCCAGGAACCGGUCCCGGUCGAGCUCCGCCUCGGUGGACUCCCGGUUGCCCUCGGCACAGGAAGCACCGCAGCAGUCGGGCUUCAACAAGCGGUCGGCACCGACUCAGCAACCGAGCAUGAGUCGGCACCGCGAAGCGUCGGCGGUUCGUUACCCAAGGCCGACCAGCCGUAGCCGUUCCCGGUCCCGCGAUCACCGGCACCGUUCCAGGUCCAGGUCGGCGAGGCGCUAUUCCAGGUCUUGGUCGCGGAGGCGCUACUCCCCAAAACCGGACCGGCACCAUCCUAUGGCUCCACCGUGGCCUUCCAGGUCACCGUCCGUGGUCUCGGGGACUGACUCAGACCGGUACGGCGGGUAUGCCCAUAGGUCACAGGCCAGCAGGGACUACGGUCAGUCCCAAUGGGGCCAACCGAGCCAAUGGCCAUUCUGGACACCCUGGGCCUACCACCAGCAAGGGCCCCCAUCGAGGGCCUCGAGAUCCGGGCCAUCCGGGUACCGCUCCCGCUCCCCGCGGCACCGCCCGCCAUCGUAUAGGGAGGCAACGGUCUCUAGACCACCGGAGCGGGAAGGAGUGGAUUCGGCACCGAGUACGGUGCCGUCCCAAUCCCACGCUGCGGGUCAGGCCGCAGAGAAACAACUGGCUGAUGCCGGAUUGCAGGACAAUGAGGAUGGGCAGAAGGCCCCGACCUCUUCCUCCUCGCCAGACGAGGCGGUAGCGGGCACACUGGUGUCCGGCCCUCCCCCGAUUGACCAUCGGGCACACCAAGACCUGCUUCGCCGGGUAGCCCUCAAUCUGGGCUUGCAAGCGGAGGAGACUGUAGAGCAGGACGACCCCAUGGUCGAUAUCCUGAGCCCAGAGGGCCCCUCCAGAGUCGCUCUCCCGAUUAUACGGACAGUACAGUCCAACUAUAAGACGGUGUGGCAAACACCGGCCUCCAGUGCGCCAACUGCAAAAGGCGUGGAGAGGAAAUACUUCCUCUUUCUACACCCGUCCCCCUGUUCGCUGGUGGUCGGCGGUCAACGAAAAAGAGCGGCAUGGCCAGCAAGCUCCUGCCCCCAAGGGCAAGGAAGCUAAGAGAUUGGACUUAUUCGGGAGGAAAGUCUAUUCAUCUGGGGGCCUUCAACUGAGGAUCGCCAAUCAGCAGGCGAUUCUAAACAGGCACAAUUUUAACUCUUGGGCAUCAGUUGCCAAGUUUAAGGACUCCCUCCCACCUGACGCGCAUCAGGAGUUCACGGCCCUGGUGGAUGAGGGAAUGGCAGUGGCCAAGACCUCAUUGCAGGCCGCACUAGACUCAGCCGACGCUGUGGCUAGAACAAUUGCGUCGGGAGUCGUGAUGAGGCGUUCGGCGUGGUUGCAGGCUUCAGGUCUCCCGCCAGAGGUGCAGACCACGCUGCAGGACCUCCCGUUUGAAGGUUCGGGCUUGUUUUCCGACCAGACGGACGCCAGGCUACAUAGCCUUAAGGACUCACGAGCGACCCUUAAGUCGUUGGGUAUGCACACUC